rnacentral:rRNA from 1 species
AGUGAACGCUGGCGGUAGGCCUAACGCAUGCAAGUCGAACGGCAGCACAGUAAGAGCUUGCUCUUACGGGUGGCGAGUGGCGGACGGGUGAGGAAUACAUCGGAAUCUACUUUUUCGUGGGGGAUAACGUAGGGAAACUUACGCUAAUACCGCAUACGACCUACCGGUGAAAGCAGGGGAUCUUCGGACCUUGCGCGAUUGAAUGAGCCGAUGUCGGAUUAGCUAGUUGGCGGGGUAAAGGCCCACCAAGGCGACGAUCCGUAGCUGGUCUGAGAGGAUGAUCAGCCACACUGGAACUGAGACACGGUCCAGACUCCUACGGGAGGCAGCAGUGGGGAAUAUUGGACAAAGGGCGCAAGCCUGAUCCAGCCAUACCGCGUGGGUGAAGAAGGCCUUCGGGUUGUAAAGCCCUUUUGUUGGGAAAGAAAAGCAGCAGGUUAAUACCCCGCUGUUCUGACGGUACCCAAAGAAUAAGCACCGGCUAACUUCGUG